GCAUAUCUAAUUAUGUCUGGAUGGAAAAAGAAACCAACUGGGGAUUGCCUCAGUAACGGGCGAGUGAAGCGGCAUGAGCUCAAAUUUGAAAUCUGGCCCCGUCCGGGGGUCCGAGUUGUAAUUUGGAGAGGACACUUCGGGUGCGGCCACGGCGUAAGUCCCCUGGAACAGGGCGUCACAGAGGGUGAGAAUCCCGUCUUGAGCCGCUGGACCGCGCCCAUGCGAAGUUCCUUCGACGAGUCGAGUUGUUUGGGAAUGCAGCUCUAAGUGGGUGGUAAAUUUCAUCUAAAGCUAAAUACUGGCUGGAGACCGAUAGCGCACAAGUAGAGUGAUCGAAAGGUUAAAAGCACCUUGAAAAGGGAGUUAAAUAGCACGUGAAAUUGUUGAAAGGGAAGCGCUGGCAGCCAGACUCGGUCGCGGGAUCCUCCCGCGUUCGGGCCAGCAUCGGUUCUGGCGGUCGGUCAAAGACCCGCGGAAUGUGUCGUCCCCCGGGACGUCUUAUAGCCGCGGGUGCAAUGCGACCAGCCGGGACCGAGGACCGCGCCUCGGCACGGAUGCUGGCGUAAUGGCUGUCAGCGGCCCGUCUUGAAACACGGACCAAGGAGUCUAACAUCCACGCGAGUGUUCGGGUGUCAAACCCGUGCGCGCAGUGAAAGCGAACGGAGGUGGGAGCCUUUGGGUGCACCAUCGACCGAUCCUGAUGUCUUCGGAUGGAUUUGAGUAAGAGCGUGGCUGUUGGGACCCGAAAGAUGGUGAACUAUGCCUGAAUAGGGUGAAGCCAGAGGGAAACUCUGGUGGAGGCUCGCAGCGGUUUCUGACGUGCAAAUCGAUCGUCAAAUUUGGGUAUAGGGGCGAAAGACUAAUCGAACCAUCUGGUAGCUGGGUCUGCGAAG
rnacentral:rRNA from 1 species